rnacentral:rRNA from 1 species
UUAAACGAGAGUUUGAUCCUGGCUCAGAAUCAACGCUGGCGGCGUGCCUAACACAUGCAAGUCGCACGAGAAAGGGUAGCAAUACCUGAGUACAGUGGCGCACGGGUGAGUAACACGUGAAUAAUCUACCUCCGAGUGGGGAAUAACUGAGAGAAAUCUUAGCUAAUACCGCAUAACACUUACGAGUCAAAGCAGCAAUGCGCUUGGAGAGGAGUUCGCGGCAGAUUAGUUAGUUGGCGGGGUAAUGGCCCACCAAGACGAUGAUCUGUAUCCGGCCUGAGAGGGCGCACGGACACACUGGAACUGAAACACGGUCCAGACUCCUACGGGAGGCAGCAGUGGGGAAUUUUGCGCAAUGGGGGAAACCCUGACGCAGCAACGCCGCGUGGAGGAU